UUGUGGGGAAUUUUGGGAAUGUUUCAGGAGUGGGUUCUGGGCAGGGUUCCUCGAGCUCAAAUUUUUUGAAUUUCGGGAAUUUUGGGCAUUUUGGGAAUUUCGGGAAUUCUGGGGAUUUUCGGGAAUUUUGGGGAUUUGGGGAAUGUUUCAGGGCCGGGUUUCUGGAGCUGGAUUUGUGAGAUUUUGGGGAUUUUCAGGAUUUUGGGGGAUUUUCCAGGAGCGGGUUCCGGGCGGGGUUCCUGGAGUUCCUGAACGUGGAUCCCGCCAUCCUGGCCCCGUUCCAGCUGGCCCAGUCCCUGCCCCGGCCCUGCGUCCUGGGCAGGAUCCUCCUGGAGCUGGUCCUGGAGCCGCCGGACGAGCGGGAUCCCGUCAGCAGGGAGCUGGAAAAGCACCGCCGUUCCCUGUGCCGGGAUCUGGCCGCCAACGCCCGCCGGGUGCAGCAGCAGCUCGGCCGCGCCCCCGGGAUCCGGUGCCAGCCCCCGGCCGCGGGACCCCGAGUGUUCCCAAAAUUCGAGAUCCCGCCCCGAGCCCGGAGCCAGGCCCGGGCGCUGGGCCUGGAGCCCGAUGGCUUCUUGUGCCGGUGGCUGCGGGAGAGAGCGGGGCUGGGGGUGACAGCGGGGAGCGACUGCGGGCUGGGGACAGGGGACA